rnacentral:rRNA from 1 species
UACGUAGGAUCCUAGCGUUAUCCGGAUUUACUGGGUGUAAAGGGUGCGCAGGCGGACUUGUUAGUCAGAGGUGAAAUCUCACUGCUCAACAGUGAAACUGCCUUUGAUACUGCAGGUCUUGAAUCCAGAAGAGAGUUGUGGAAUUCCGAGUGUAGCAGUGAAAUGUGUAGAUAUUCGGAAGAACACCAGCGGCGAAGGCAGCAACUUGGUCUGGUAUUGACGCUCAGGCACGAAAGCAUGGGGAUCAAACAGG